rnacentral:rRNA from 1 species
AUUGAACGCUGGCGGCAUGCUUUACACAUGCAAGUCGAACGGUAACAGGGUGCUUGCACCGCUGACGAGUGGCGAGCGGGUGAGUAAUGCGUCGGAACGUGCCGAGUAGUGGGGGAUAACGCAUCGAAAGGUGUGCUAAUACCGCAUACGUACUGAGGUAGAAAGUGGGGGACCUUCGGGCCUCACGCUAUUCGAGCGGCCGACGUCUGAUUAGCUAGUUGGUGAGGUAAAGGCUCACCAAGGCGACGAUCAGUAGCGGGUCUGAGAGGAUGAUCCGCCACACUGGGACUGAGACACGGCCCAGACUCCUACGGGAGGCAGCAGUGGGGAAUUUUGGACAAUGGGCGCAAGCCUGAUCCAGCCAUGCCGCGUGUCUGAAGAAGGCCUUCGGGUUGUAAAGGACUUUUGUCCGGGAGCAAAUACCCAGUGCUAAUAACGCUGGGGGCUGAGAGUACCGGAAGAAUAAGCACCGGCUAACUACGUGCCAGCAGCCGCCGUAAGAC